rnacentral:rRNA from 1 species
AGUGAACGCUGGCGGUAGGCCUAACACAUGCAAGUCGAACGGCAGCACAGGAGAGCUUGCUCUCUGGGUGGCGAGUGGCGGACGGGUGAGGAAUACAUCGGAAUCUACUUUUUCGUGGGGGAUAACGUAGGGAAACUUACGCUAAUACCGCAUACGACCUACGGGUGAAAGCAGGGGACCUUCGGGCCUUGCGCGAUUGAAUGAGCCGAUGUCGGAUUAGCUAGUUGGCGGGGUAAAGGCCCACCAAGGCGACGAUCCGUGGCUGGUCUGAGAGGAUGAUCAGCCACACUGGAACUGAGGCACGGUCCAGACUCCUACGGGAGGCAGCAGUGGGGAAUAUUGGACAAGGGGCGCAAGCCUGAUCCAGCCAUACCGCGUGGGUGAAGAAGGCCUUCGGGUUGUAAAGCCCUUUUGUUGGGAAAGAAAUCCAGCUGGCUAAUACCCGGUUGGGAUGACGGUACCCAAAGAAUAAGCACCGGCUAACUUCGUGCCAGCCGCCGCAGUAA